rnacentral:rRNA from 1 species
GUGGGGAAUCUUCCGCAAUGGACGAAAGUCUGACGGAGCAACGCCGCGUGUAUGAAGAAGGCCUUCGGGUUGUAAAGUACUGUUGUCAGGGACGAACCGUAUAUGUGUAAAUAAUGCAUAUACCUGACGGUACCUGACGAGGAAGCCCCGGCUAACUACGUGCCAGCAGCCGCGGUAAUACGUAGGGGGCAAGCGUUGUCCGGAAUUAUUGGGGGUAAAGGGCGCGUAGGCGGCUGUAUAAGUCUGAUGUGAAAGUGCAGAGCAUAACUCCGUAAAGCAUUGGAAACUGUACGGCUUGAGGACAGGAGAGGAAAGUGGAAUUCCACGUGUAGCGGUGAAAUGCGUAGAUAUGUGGAGGAACACCAGUGGCGAAGGCGACUUUCUGGACUGUAACUGACGCUGAGGCGCGAAAGCGUGGGGAGCGAACAGGAUUAGAAACCCUAGUAGUCC